UCCCUGGAGGACUAGUGGUUAGGCCACAGCGCUCUCACCGCUGCGGCCUCGGGUUCAUUUCCCGACCAGGGAA
rnacentral:tRNA from 1 species